UCUCUUUACAUGUAUGUACGCGAAACCUAUAUUUAAUUGAUGACAAGUUCCGUCACGACUGCUGUCUAUGCUGCGAUUGCCGCAUUCCAAGUACAAAUAUGGAAAUCGUGAAAAGUGAUUUAGAGAAAUGAAAUUCGAAGGUUACAAAAGAAAAGUACAGCAUCAUGCAGGAUGUGUGUGUUACAAAAGAAUAUGGAAAUGAUGGAAUCCAUGCGUAUGUAUUAACAACGUAUACGUCAUAAAUUGAAAAUGAUGACGAAAAGAGGGCGCACCUAAAAGUUCUCAGAGGCUUUUUGAAAGAGCCUUGAAUAUACCUUUGAAAGAUGAGGAAAUUUUCUUCUACGUCUCAUACGAUUGUCUGAGCUGGACUGAUCCGAAUGUUGUAAGCAUCUCCAAACUGCGAACCGUUAUUAGUGUAGCCCUAAAUUGUGGAUUAGCUAAUCAUGGAAAUAUCUCAAAGAGCUUCUAUUACUCUGGGGUUCAUCUUGUACUUUCAACUGAUGGCAAACGCUUCUCCACCGCAAUCCAGCACUGCAUUUCCAUCUUUGCAGCUUCAAUACUCUUCAGUUAACAACUCGAAGGAAAAAUUUGUGAUUCGAAAAUGCUGCGGUCCAGGCCAAGUGUACAACUUCAAUCGGGAAGAGGAUGUAGCCGAUCGUAGAGAUCGAUGUGUUAAACAUUCCAUCACCAGCAGCAAUCCGUCUUCGCAAAACUAUUCUCGGCAGAUUUUCUUUGGCUCCGAGCAGACAGUGCCAUCUCAAUACGCCAUUGAAGAUGUAGAAAUCGACGCGGGAUUUCCUAGCAAAUGCACGCCGGAUUUCUUACUAGAACCCGACAUGAGAAUGGGCGAUCUCUUCUACCCAAUGCCAUCUGGCCAGCUGAUAGUGCCGCAUCGGUUUUGGGUUUUA